rnacentral:misc_RNA from 1 species
GAUGAAGAACGCAGCGAAAUGCGAUAAGUAAUGUGAAUUGCAGAAUUCAGUGAAUCAUCGAAUCUUUGAACGCACAUUGCGCCCGCCAGUAUUCUGGCGGGCAUGCCUGUUCGAGCGUCAUUUCAACCCUCAAGACCCUUUCGGGGGACUUGGUGUUGGGGACCGGCACAGGGGCCUGCCUGCUUGUCUUGCAGCGCCCUCGCCGCCCCCGAAAUGAAUUGGCGGCCUCGUCGCGGCCUCCCCUGCGUAGUAGCACAAACCUCGCAACGGGAACGUGACGGCGGCCACUGCCGUAAAACAACCCAAUUUUAUUAGAGUUGACCUCGAAUCAGGUAGGAAUACCCGCUGAACUUAAGCAUAUCAAUAAGCGGAGGA